rnacentral:rRNA from 1 species
UACGAAGGGGGCGAGCGUUGUUCGGAUUUACUGGGCGUAAAGGGCGCGCAGGCGGCUCAUUUUGUCAGGCGUGAAAGCCCCGGGCUUAACCUGGGAACUGCGUUUGAUACGGAUGGGCUAGAGUUCGGGAGAGGAGAGUGGAAUUCCCAGUGUAGGGGUGAAAUUCGUAGAUAUUGGGAAGAACACCGGUGGCGAAGGCGGCUCUCUGGACCGAGACUGACGCUGAGGCGCGAAAGCGUGGGGAGCAAACAGG